rnacentral:rRNA from 1 species
UACGAAGGGGGCUAGCGUUGCUCGGAAUUACUGGGCGUAAAGCGCACGUAGGCGGCUUUUUAAGUCGGAGGUGAAAUCCUGGAGCUCAACUCCAGAACUGCCUUCGAUACUGGAAAGCUCGAGUCCGGGAGAGGUGAGUGGAACUGCGAGUGUAGAGGUGAAAUUCGUAGAUAUUCGCAAGAACACCAGUGGCGAAGGCGGCUCACUGGCCCGGUACUGACGCUGAGGUGCGAAAGCGUGGGGAGCAAACAGG